UGCAGCGUGAAGAACGUGUAAUAAUGCGAUCAACGAAGCCAAAGGAAAUUACAUUAGACCGAAUGAAAAGAUCGUGAAGCGGUUUAACUAGCAGUUUCCGAGCGUAUAAUGAAAAAUUUGAUGGUAAUUUCAUCAGCGAACCAACCAUAAAAAUGAGUACGCUCGAACACACUGAUCGCUUUAAUCCCACGAUAAUGAAUAAGGAUGCACGAAACGAGGACACAUCCAUGUAUCGCAUUGAUUUACGUUAAAGGAAGCUGAUGGUCCCGCGGCAUCGGAAGCAUAACGAAAAAAAGGGGCGAGAAGAGGCGUCGUCUCUCGUUGCGUUCGCGGCAAACAGCCCAUAAGCGGACAUACCAAUUUCACAUCUCGUCUCGAAUGAGAUGGUAGGGGGAUGAUACGAAUGCAUAUACAGAAUGCAUAUGAUGUCAUGGACUGUUUCGUUCGGUUUACUCAUGGCAAGGGUAAAGUCUCUUCGCGGACAAUUCUUAAUAGCGCGAUAAAUAUUCGAGAGUGUUGGUAAGAACCACGGAGAUACGAGUACGUAGCCAACCGUACGCGUACGUAAGUAGACGACAGAUCGCGUUUCUUCGUAUACGACCAUGACACUAAAUUACAGACUUAUACAGUGGUUGUCAAUCUGCAUUUACAAGUAAGAUCGUACCAUAUACGCGCGACGCGACGCAAUUAAUCAUCUUUUUCGUGUACUUGAGAAACCAGACUGCCCAGACCCAAUUCAAAGCGUCAUUGUCAUGCCGAGUGAAAAGGGAACCCAGAAUUAGGACACUUGGUGCAAACACGGUGAGAAGCAAAUAGUAAACACGGUACAUAAUUGAUCGAAAAGUGUGCAUGACGUUGAUUAAUCGUACACCUUUGUGCUGCAGAAAUAUGUAUCAAGGCAGAUUUCGUUGUCACAAAAGGUGACAGUCACCUGCGACGGUGUUGAUAUCAGUAGAAAUGUAAUUACGAUCUUGAUAUUAAUUUCGCGACGAAUUGAAUCAUGGUCAGGGAUGAAUUGGUGCAUGACAGCCGAUACGAUGUAAUUUCGUUCGAUGGUUCAGGCAUAAGAUGAGACCAUAUGAUACGGAAAACUGUCGGGAGCUAUCGAUAACCGCGCGCGGAGCAGACCACAGGCGGCAUUGGCACGCACGUAAGGGACCCCUUAUCUCGGGAACAGAAACUACGGGGUCAAUACGCCACCGCUUUGUAAUCAGCCGCGUACCAUGCACGCUUAAACGGAUAAUCAUAUUGACCGCUCGCUAAUAUUAACAUUUUUCGGAAAGCUAUUGCAAGGAAUCGGCCUGCUAGCCUACAUAUUGCUCGAGUGCCCUCACACGCGAGCUCUAUCUUCUUCGCAUAGAGUUUUAUCGAGAUCAACGGAACAACGGGGAUCGUGCUUAUACAAGGACGCAUCCACGCGGACGGAUACACAUAUACUCGUAUAUCUCUCUAGCGUUGCAGAUGCGGUUACCAGAGAGAGAGUAUUGAUGAAACAAUAGAAAGUACAUGAACGCGGUACUGAAAGAACAGACCAUAUCGCGAUCCACAUACGCUCGGAAUGCGAAUGGUAGAAGUAAAUGCGAUGAAAAUCGAUCACAAUUGUCGCAUGAAUGCACCCUUAUAUUCGAGGCACGAUGUAAUAGAAGAUAUAUGCAUAAGCACGAUAGAUUACCGUUUAAAUAUGAAUGACUCCGUUUCUAUUUUCGCUUUUUUUUUUUUUUAAAGAAUAAUUAAUUGCGUUAAUUGAUCGAUACUUCCGUACACGUUAAGCUCUUCAAAGGAAAUGCUACUCUUAUAUAUGAGGAAAUCGGAUCAUGUGUAGAGCCCCUGUAAAGCGGCAACCGUCAUUACACCGCUGUCGGUUGUAUGGUAGCAUCAUUAGCGUUGUUUCUGUACGAAUCAAAUUUCAAGAAACUAGAAGACUGUAGAAAUUGCGCUUUCUGGAAGACAGAUCAAAGACGACCCACGUCCGAUUUCAUGUACCAUGCACAAAGGCAUCUGUAUUACAUCGGAUCAAAGGGAGAAAAGAAUUUACUUUACGUUCUUCGCUUAACUUAUAUUUUCCUAGUAGCGUUUCUACACAACAUAUCGAUCAUCGUCUUGAGGGAAGAUGACAGUGGUUCCUCGAUCACUGUCCAAUUGAGGUGUAGUGGCGCUAAUCGUCUGGAGGUAUGGAAUGAGAUAACGCAUUGUUUUCCGACGAAACCGAACGAACGUUUGGCACACAUUCGGUAACGGCGGGACGCCGUUGCACCGACGGCGGUUCGCACCUCACAGAUACAUCGCGACGUCUGACGUUCCCGCGCCCAUUGCCGUCGAGACAACGUCGUCAUGACGACCGCGCAUAACAACCUUCGCCCAUGCGCAUAUCGUUUCUAUUACGUAGAUUAUAAACGCGGCAAUAUACGGACCAGGAAUGAUUUUUGAUAAGAUAUAACCAAUAAAAACGGAACAUGUUUCUAUUCAACAUGUUAAUUGAGUUGACUUUGAGCUGAUUCAAACUGAGUUUGAGCAAUUUCAUAAAUGAUUAUGAAUAUUAUACUUAUAAUAUUAAGUACUUCAUGUGUUAUCAUUUGUUCAUAUGUUCAGUUUGCAAUAUAAUGCUAUAUCAUAAUAUAGAAUAAAAGAUAUAGUUUUGUAACGAUGGGAUAUAAUUGUUGCAACUCACAAAAGUCACUGUUCUUUUGUUCUGCUUGUAAAGACAAAUCAAUAAGAUCACGGUAUAUUACAUUAUAAUUAUAUUUGUUUUACUUCUCCCUUCUAUAUUUUAUCAUAACACAUUCAUGAACAAAUCAACAUACAUAUUUAACCUCCUGAAAUUAUAAUGUUCUGAAAAAAAUCUGUGUUCAAAUACUAUAUGUCCUAUAUUUCUAAAGAAUAUUUCUCUACUCGAAGAAUAUGUAUCCAAGCCAGAAAUAAAAGAUUCAGUGCAUUUAGGAUACAUUCUAAAGAUAAUCAUGGCAUUUAAUCAUAUUAUUUUCAUUUAAUAAAUUAGACUAAUCUUUUCUAAAUAUUCAACAAACUGGACAUAUUGUAGGAUUGGAUAAUACGUCCUUUUUAACUUGUCAAAUUAUUAAACACUAGAGAAUAUUUCUCUUCAAAUAUUUCCAUUGACUAACAUCUAUAUUAAUAAGAUUUGUUGUAACAAUGUAUUAUACAUAAAAUAUAAUUCUGUUUUAUAAAUCAAAAAUGACAAACUAUGUUACAAAAGUAUUAAGCGUUAUAUAUCAUUAUUCUAU